rnacentral:tRNA from 1 species
AGGAGCUUAGGUUAUACACCCAUUAAACCUGAGGCCUUCAAAGCCCCCAAAAAACAAUUUUAGCUUCUG